UUUAAUUGAAGAGUUUGAUCAUGGCUCAGAUUGAACGCUGGCGGCAGGCCUAACACAUGCAAGUCGAGCGGUAACAGGGGAAGCUUGCUUCCCGCUGACGAGCGGCGGACGGG
rnacentral:rRNA from 1 species